rnacentral:rRNA from 1 species
AAGUAGCUUGCUACUAGACGACGACCGGCGCACGGGUGAGUAACGCGUAUGUAAUCUGCCUUGUACAGAGGGAUAGCCCAGAGAAAUUUGGAUUAAUACCUCAUAGUAUUACUGAGUCGCAUGAUUUGGUAAUUAAAGCUCCGGCGGUACAAGAUGAACAUGCGUGACAUUAGCUAGUUGGUAAGGUAACGGCUUACCAAGGCUACGAUGUCUAGGGGUUCUGAGAGGAUGAUCCCCCACACUGGUACUGAGACACGGACCAGACUCCUACGGGAGGCAGCAGUGAGGAAUAUUGGUCAAUGGACGCAAGUCUGAACCAGCCAUCCCGCGUGAAGGAUGACUGCCCUAUGGGUUGUAAACUUCUUUUAUAUGCAAAUAAACCUACUUUCGUGAAAGUAGCUGAAGGUAGCAUAUGAAUAAACACCGGCUAACUCCGUGCCAGCAGCCGCGGUAAUACGGAGGGUGUAAGCGUUAUCCGGAUUUAUUGGGUUUAAAGGGUAC